UCCCUGAUGGUCCAGUGGCUAAGAUUCUGCCCUUGGAAUGCAGGAGACCCAGGUUCGAUCCCUGGUCAGGGAA